CAUGAAUCUGGACAGUUUUAACAAAAUCUGCAAUACUAUAUUUUAAAUUACCUAGUAAAGGUGAAAUCAAACACGAGUCUAUGAGCUCACAUUCUCUCACUAGAGUUUGAGAGCUUCUCUCUCUAACCUCUACAUUGUGUAACUGUCUGGUUAGCAAAACACUUUCUUCAAGGGAUAAUCGAGCAUUUGAAAGACCAAUAAUGACAGAAAACUCAUCAUUACCUAUGUUCUGUCUCCAGUUGUUUGCUUCAAUUUAAUGGAUCACCAGUCGCAGAUCAACACAGUUCUAGUUCUCAUGAACACAACCCAAGGCUCGCCACGACUCUCAUACGAAAAAAAAUAAAAUUGGUUACUUCACUUUUGAUUUCCCAGGUAUGCCGUAUUUGUAAAUGAAAUUUGAUCUAUAAAAUUUUACAUUUAUCGAUGAAAAAAAAUUUAAGAUUCAAUGCCAAUGACAGGUUUGGCUGAAGCUGCGAAGGCUGUCAAGGUACAAUGGUCAUUGCGUUGCGUAAGGAUAUUAGACAUAAUUUACC
rnacentral:lncRNA from 1 species